AGUGAACGCUGGCGGUAGGCCUAACACAUGCAAGUCGAACGGCAGCACAGUAAGAGCUUGCUCUUACGGGUGGCGAGUGGCGGACGGGUGAGGAAUACAUCGGAAUCUACUUUUUCGUGGGGGAUAACGUAGGGACACUUACGCUAAUACCGCAUACGACCUACGGGUGAAAGCAGGGGAUCUUCGGACCUUGCGCGAUUGAAUGAGCCGAUGUCGGAUUAGCUAGUUGGCGGGGUAAAGGCCCACCAAGGCGACGAUCCGUAGCUGGUCUGAGAGGAUGAUCAGCCACACUGGAACUGAGACACGGUCCAGACUCCUACGGGAGGCAGCAGUGGGGAAUAUUGGACAAUGGGCGCAAGCCUGAUCCAGCCAUACCGCGUGGGUGAAGAAGGCCUUCUGGUUGUAAAGCCCUUUUGUUGGGAAAGAAAAGCAGCAGGUUAAUACCCCGCUGUUCUGACGGUACCCAAAGAAUAAGCACCGGCUAACUUCGUG
rnacentral:rRNA from 1 species